AUCUGUGGAGCUCCCCUCUGCGCUACUCUAUCAACGCUUUCCCCUACAGACUCUCUCCUUUCUGCCUCUCCUAAUUUUGUGGACCUUCUGAAACUCCACCAAACCACUCUGACCUUCAACAAGCUAAGGAUGAUGAACUAGAUCCGUAGGGAUAUUGUCUUCAGUGUCAUUUAUAUUUAUUCCCUCUGCUUAAAACAAGAUACCAGAUACAAUGAUGCUGAAGAGACAAGACAGCUUAAAAAAUGUGCUUUUCCUGAGACAAGCAUAACUGGGUAUACAGAAUGAAAUGGUGAGAACCUGCUGCUCCCACAGCAC